GUUCGGCCGAAUUUGGCUAUCGACUGCACUCGGGUAUGUUCGGAAGCUUUCGGGCAUGUUCGGCUGUGUCCGGCUGCACGAGGUUUUCGAGCAAGUCGGGGUGGCGCUCAAGCCACGUCGGGCACAUUCGGCUUAGUCCGGCCUCAUUCGGGUGUUCGGCUGUGUCCGAUCGCUCUCAGUCGGUUAGAGUUGGGCUCUCGCUGAAGUCCCUACUUCCAGAGCUUCUGAAUUCCCGCCUCGUGACGUCACCCGGAGGGGCGGGGCUUCCUUGCGCUUCCCCGGCGUUGGAGCAGGCUGAGUGACUGGCGGAGACUCUUGGGGGCGGGCUGCUGGCGGUGGAUACCCUAAACCUGCGAUCCGAGGGGGAGGCCCGGGAAUGGAUACCACCUACCCCUCCCUCUCCUCUCUCCAAAGCCAAGAGCGGCGGGGUCAAGCCGUGGUUCCAUGACGCGGGCGGCGGGGAGAAAGUCGCACCGACUGUGGGAACGGCGCGUCCAUCCAUCGGUUACCCAGAUGGAGAAACUGAGGCCAGGGCCACCAAGAGCCUGCUCAGAAACUACAAUCCUUGAGUCUUUUGUCGGGUUGGGGAAACUGAGGCUUGGAGAAAGGUGGAAACAGACUCAAGUCUUCACUGCAAGUCUCCUCCCUGUCUUUCUGUCCCCCUCCACAAGCCCCACGUGACCUCCACCUGCUCUGACGUUCUCCAGGCCCUGUCUCUGGAUCCUUUCCCCUCUCCUGCUGUCUCCACUGGACAAACAUCCGCACUCUACUCCUGCCAAGCCUUCCGCCCUGUGAAGCUUCAGCUGCCAUAGCCCACCCCAGGAAGGACCCCUGAAAAGGGAAGCUUCGCCCCUAGUGUUGGGGAUAGGGGGCAUUCAAGAGUCUGUACUAACUGGCCUACCCUCAGAUUGCUGGGGUCAGGUGGUCCUGCCUCAUUCUUCAGAAAACGAAACCAAGUCUCAGAGUGUCUUGGAGGUGCUUGGAGGUGAGAAUGCUUGGAGGUGAGACCCAGAACACCCACCUGCUGGUGACAGCAGUCCCCAAGUGCAAGGAGGAGGGGCCUGCUAGCCGAGUCCCCACAGGAGCUCUGGGCUUGUGUGAUAGCAACCCUCCGCCUGAGCCUUGCUCCAGGGCACUUCACCAGUUUGGGGGUCCCCAGACAAAUGCCACCCAGGUUUCUGGCAGUCCUGGGGGGAUGUGAGAUAUUAUUUCAGGAGAUCAUGCUUCAGUGGGGAGACCCUGACCCUCCCCUGACAUCUCAAUCAUACUGUGGUCCCUCUUGUUUAGAUGAGAAACUGGAGCCUCACAGAGGUGUCCUGCUGGGGCCCAGGAGGACAGGGAGUCUUAAGGGUCUGGCCAGGAACCCCCUUCUGUCCCCAGGGCCCUGCAACCGGACACCUGGUGGGAAUCAGACUCUCUGUCCCCAAGACAAAAAUACCAUCUGUAGCUGCUGUGACUGGACCUAAUUAUAGCUGGUCCCCAGGGGAUAAAGGCCGCCGGGCUCAGCCUAGUGGAGAGACUGGGGUUGGGCCAAGGCGGCUUGACACCACCCCCAGCCCUGUGGGAGGGGCUCAGGAUGCUCUCGUGGCCCCAAGGAGACACUGAGGCACAGAGAGAUUCAGUCCCUUUCUUGAAGUCACAGAAUAGAAGGUGAAGACUAAACACAUGGGUAUAACUGAGCAUUUCUUGCUCUUCUGGUGCUGAGCCAAGGGCUGUGCUUGUAAAAGUCAUUUGAUUUUCAGAGCAGCUCUAUAAAGUGGGGGCUAGUAUUCUCAUUUUGUGGAUGGGGAAAUUGAGGCACAGAGAAGGGUGCUUACUGCCUGAAGUCACUCAAGCCUGGGUUGGCAGGCUCCCCAGCCUCUCCCAACUUAAUGCUUAACUAGCUCCAUCCCCUGAGUUUGAGUGAGCUCCGGGACUUGGUGAUGGACAGGGAACCCUCACGUGCUGCAGUCCAUGGGGUCGCAAAGAGUUGGACACGGCUGAGCAACUGAACUGAACUGAGCACCAUCCCCUGUGUAGUCCCAGAUGCUACUCUGACAUUAAAUGCUUUAUUGAUAAUUUUAGUGUUAAUGUUUCAUUAAUAGAUUCAACUUUAAAUAUUUUAUGACCAGUUUUAACAGCAAUGCUUUUACUGUUAUCAGUUGCUUUUUGGGUGGAGAAACAGCUGCAGAGCCAAGACUCAGCAUUCAAAGCCUGGCCUGCCUGACCCUGGGGGACUCCAAACUUCACCCGGGAGGGCAGAGGCCAAAGGAAGUGCUGACAUGACUUUGUCUCACCCUAACUCUGUCUCUGUACGCUCU